rnacentral:rRNA from 1 species
CCUACGGGAGGCAGCAGUGAGGAAUAUUGGUCAAUGGGAGAGAUCCUGAACCAGCCAAGCCGCGUGAGGGAAGACGGCCCUAUGGGUUGUAAACCUCUUUUGUCGGAGAACAAAACCCGGGACGUGUCCCGGACUGCGUGUAUCCGAAGAAAAAGCAUCGGCUAACUCCGUGCCAGCAGCCGCGGUAAUCCGGAGGAUGCGAGCGUUAUCCGGAUUUAUUGGGUUUAAAGGGUGCGUAGGCGGUCCGUUAAGUCAGCGGUAAAAUUGCGGGGCUCAACCCCGUCGAGCCGUUGAAACUGGCAGACUAGAGUUGGCGAGAGGUACGCGGAAUGCGCGGUGUAGCGGUGAAAUGCAUAGAUAUCGCGCAGAACUCCGAUUGCGAAGGCAGCGUACUGGCGCCAGACUGACGCUGAGGCACGAAAGCGUGGGGAUCGAACAGGAUUAGAUACCCGGGUAGUC